AUUGAACGCUGGCGGCAGGCUUAACACAUGCAAGUCGAGCGGAGUGAUGGUGCUUGCACUAUCACUUAGCGGCGGACGGGUGAGUAAUGCUUAGGAAUCUGCCUAUUAGUGGGGGACAACAUCUCGAAAGGGAUGCUAAUACCGCAUACGUCCUACGGGAGAAAGCAGGGGAUCACUUGUGACCUUGCGCUAAUAGAUGAGCCUAAGUCGGAUUAGCUAGUUGGUGGGGUAAAGGCCUACCAAGGCGACGAUCUGUAGCGGGUCUGAGAGGAGGAUCCGCCAAACUGGGACUGGGACACGGCCCAGACUCCUACGGGAGGCAGCAGUGGGGAAUAUUGGACAAUGGGGGGAACCCUGAUCCAGCCAUGGCGCGUGUGUGAAGAAGGCCUUAUGGUUGUAAAGCACUUUAAGCGAGGAGGAGGCUCUUUUGGUUAAUACCCAAGAUGAGUGGACGUUACUCGCAGAAUAAGCACCGGCUAACUCUGUGCCAGCAGCCGCAGUAA
rnacentral:rRNA from 1 species